AGGGGUAUAGCUCAGUGGUAGAGCAGGUGCUUGGCAUGCACAUGCUCCCGGGUUCACUCCCCAGUGCCUCUG
rnacentral:tRNA from 1 species